AUUGAACGCUGGCGGCGGGCCUAACACAUGCAAGUCGGACGGUAGCACAGAGAGCUUGCUCUUGGGUGACGAGUGGCGGACGGGUGAGUAAUGUCUGGGGAUCUGCCCGAUAGAGGGGGAUAACCACUGGAAACGGUGGCUAAUACCGCAUAACGUCGCUAGACCAAAGAGGGGGACCUUCGGGCCUCUCACUAUCGGAUGAACCCAGAUGGGAUUAGCUAGUAGGCGGGGUAAUGGCCCACCUAGGCGACGAUCCCUAGCUGGUCUGAGAGGAGGACCGGCCACACUGGAACUGAGACACGGUCCAGACUCCUACGGGAGGCAGCAGUGGGGAAUAUUGCACAAUGGGCGCAAGCCUGAUGCAGCCAUGCCGCGUGUAUGAAGAAGGCCUUCGGGUUGUAAAGUACUUUCAGCGGGGAGGAAGGCGGUGAGGUUAAUAACCUUGCCGAUUGACGUUACCCGCAGAAGAAGCACCGGCUAACUCCGUGCCAGCAGCCGCCGUAA
rnacentral:rRNA from 1 species